rnacentral:rRNA from 1 species
GGUGAGGGAUGGACUCGCGGCCUAUCAGCUUGAUGGUGGGGUAGUGGCCUACCAUGGCUUUGACGGGUAGCCGGCCUGAGAGGGUGACCGGCCACACUGGGACUGAGACACGGCCCAGACUCCUACGGGAGGCAGCAGUGGGGAAUAUUGCACAAUGGGCGGAAGCCUGAUGCAGCGACGCCGCGUGGGGGAUGAAGGCUUUCGGGUCGUAAACUCCUUUCAGCAGGGACGAAGCUUUUGUGACGGUACCUGCAGAAGAAGCACCGGCUAACUACGUGCCAGCAGCCGCGGUAAUACGUAGGGUGCGAGCGUUGUCCGGAAUUAUUGGGCGUAAAGAGCUUGUAGGCGGUUUGUCGCGUCUGCCGUGAAAGCCCAGGGCUUAACCCUGGGUCUGCGGUGGGUACGGGCAGACUAGAGUGUGGUAGGGGAGACUGGAAUUCCUGGUGUAGCGGUGAAAUGCGCAGAUAUCAGGAGGAACACCGAUGGCGAAGGCAGGUCUCUGGGCCACUACUGACGCUGAGAAGCGAAAGCAUGGGGAGCAAACAGGAUUAGAUACCCUGGUAGUCCAUGCCGUAAACGUUGGGAACUAGGUGUGGGCCUCAUUCCACGAGGUCCGUGCCGUAGCUAACGC